rnacentral:lncRNA from 1 species
GAAAAGUGAAGUCAGAUCAGCAGAGGACAUUCAUUAAUUAUUGAGUUAAAUACACCCCUCUAACCGCAGGAAAUCUUUUAUCUGCAACAGCGGAUGCUGGAAGAUUAUAUAUACUGGUCAAAAAUGGAAAUAAGGGGCAAACUCGAAAAAGGUCGAACAGGAGAAAGGUUGAACACGAGAGAGGUCGAACGUGAGAAGGAGCCAGAAAGAAAUAACGGAGAAAAUCAGUUGUCCCCGCUACCUUCCCGAGAAGACAUUCAACAUCCCGAUGGUGUAUCAAAGUACUGCGAGAAGAAGAGCACCAUCGAGG